AUUGAACGCUGGCGGCAGGCCUAACACAUGCAAGUCGAGCGGAUGACGGGAGCUUGCUCCUUGAUUCAGCGGCGGACGGGUGAGUAAUGCCUAGGAAUCUGCCUGGUAGUGGGGGACAACGUUUCGAAAGGAACGCUAAUACCGCAUACGUCCUACGGGAGAAAGCAGGGGACCUUCGGGCCUUGCGCUAUCAGAUGAGCCUAGGUCGGAUUAGCUUGUUGGUGAGGUAAUGGCUAACCAAGGCGACGAUCCGUAACUGGUCUGAGAGGAUUAUCAGUCACAAUGGAACUGAGACACGGUCCAGACUCCUACGGGAGGCAGCAGUGGGGAAUAUUGGACAAUGGGCGAAAGCCUGAUCCAGCCAUGCCGCGUGUGUGAAGAAGGUCUUCGGAUUGUAAAGCACUUUAAGUUGGGAGGAAGGGUUGUAGAUUAAUACUCUGCAAUUUUGACGUUACCGACAGAAUAAGCACCGGCUAACUCUGUGCCAGCCGCCGCCGUAA
rnacentral:rRNA from 1 species